UACGUAGGGUGCAAGCGUUAAUCGGAAUUACUGGGCGUAAAGCGUGCGCAGGCGGUGAUGUAAGACAGGUGUGAAAUCCCCGGGCUUAACCUGGGAACUGCAUUUGUGACUGCAUAGCUAGAGUACGGUAGAGGGGGAUGGAAUUCCGCGUGUAGCAGUGAAAUGCGUAGAUAUGCGGAGGAACACCGAUGGCGAAGGCAGUCCCCUGGACCUGUACUGACGCUCAUGCACGAAAGCGUGGGGAGCAAACAGG
rnacentral:rRNA from 1 species